UACGUAGGGGCAAGCGUUGUCCGGAUUAUUGGCGUAAAGAGCGCGCAGGCGGUCGUUCAAGUCGAGUGUGAAAGCCCCCGGCUCAACUGGGGAGGUCACUCGAUACUGAUCACUCGAAGGCAGGAGAGGGAAGCGGAAUUCCCGGUGUAGUGGUGAAAUGCGUAGAUAUCGGGAGGAACACCAGUGGCGAAGGCGGCUUUCUGGCCUGUUCUUGACGCUGAGGCGCGAAAGCUAGGGUAGCAAAACGGGG
rnacentral:rRNA from 1 species